rnacentral:rRNA from 1 species
GGGAUCCGAUUUUAGCAUGGAAUAAUAAAAUAGGACGUGCGGUUCUAUUUUGUUGGUUUCUAGAGUCGCCGUAAUGAUUAAUAGGGAUAGUUGGGGGCAUUGGUAUUGAGUCGCUAGAGGUGAAAUUCUUGGAUUGACUCAAGACCGACUAUUGCGAAAGCAUUUGCCAAGGAUGUUUUCAUUAAUCAAGAACGAAGGUUAGGGGAUCGAAAACGAUCAGAUACCGUUGUAGUCUUAACAGUAAACUAUGCCGACUAGGGAUCGGGCGACCUCAAUUAUUAUGUGUCGCUCGGCACCUUACGAGAAAUCAAAGUCUUGGGUUCUGGGGGGAGUAUGGUCGCAAGACUGAAACUUAAAGGAAUUGACGGAAGGGCACCCCCAGGUGUUAAACCUGCGGCUUAAUUUGACUCAACACGGGGAAACUCACCAGGUCCAGAAAUCUAGA